rnacentral:rRNA from 1 species
CCAGACUCCUACGGGAGGCAGCAGUGGGGAAUAUUGCACAAUGGGGGAAACCCUGAUGCAGCGACGCCGCGUGAGUGAAGAAGUAUUUCGGUAUGUAAAGCUCUAUCAGCAGGGAAGAUAAUGACGGUACCUGAGUAAGAAGCCCCGGCUAACUACGUGCCAGCAGCCGCGGUAAUACGUAGGGGGCAAGCGUUAUCCGGAUUUACUGGGUGUAAAGGGAGCGUAGACGGCAUGGCAAGUCUGAAGUGAAAGCCCGGGGCUCAACCGCGGGACUGCUUUGGAAACUGUUAAGCUGGAGUGCAGGAGAGGUAAGUGGAAUUCCUAGUGUAGCGGUGAAAUGCGUAGAUAUUAGGAAGAACACCAGUGGCGAAGGCGGCUUUCUGGACUGAAACUGACGCUGAGGCACGAAAGCGUGGGGAGCGAACAGGAUUAGAUACCCGGGUAC